UACAGAGACUGCAAGCGUUAUUCGGAUUCAUUGGGCGUAAAGGGUGCGUAGGCGGCCAUGUGUGUCAGGUGUGAAAGCCCGGGGCUCAACCCCGGGAGGGGAUGGAUACUGUCUGGCUCGAGUCCGGGAGAGGCGAGUGGAAUUCCCGGUGUAGCGGUGAAAUGCGCAGAUAUCGGGAGGAACACCAAUGGCGAAGGCGGCUCGCUGGGACGGUACUGACGCUGAGACGCGAAAGCGUGGGGAGCAAACAGG
rnacentral:rRNA from 1 species